GAAAAAGAAGGCACUGAUUUAUCACAGUCUGAGAAAGGCUGCCGGAAAUUCAAUUAAGCACUGGAAAAAAAUGAUAUGGAGGACCCACACAAAAGUGAGUCUCAUUGCUCUCAAGGCAGUGUGCAGAAGUGAUCAGUCUCUGGAGAUCGUAAGACGUUGUACCGGGAGCUUAUACUUCAUGACCGUUGAUGCUGAAGUAAGGAGAAUUCGCAUCAUCACGACUCAGAAGGCAAAAUGGAAAGUACAAUCCCUUUCUUCUGCAAAAAUGAAAUGUUUCUUGCAGCUGGUGAGUGCUGGACCCAUGCUGUAUAUAACAGAGCUCAAUAAAUAUGUAUUGGAUUAUUGA
rnacentral:lncRNA from 1 species